CCUAGGGGGGGCAGCAGUGGGGAAUAUUGGGCAAUGGGCGCAAGCCUGACCCAGCAACGCCGCGUGAAGGAAGAAGGCUUUCGGGUUGUAAACUUCUUUUAAGAGGGAAGAGCAGAAGCCGGUACCUCUUGAAUAAGCCACGGCUAACUACGAGCCAGCAGCCGCGGUAAUACGUAGGUGGCAAGCGUUGUCCGGAUUUACUGGGUGUAAAGGGCGUGUAGCCGGGCUGACAAGUCAGAUGUGAAAUCCCGUGGCUCAACCACGGAAGUGCAUUUGAAACUGUCGGUCUUGAGUAUCGGAGAGGCAGGCGGAAUUCCUGGUGGAGCGGUGAAAGGCGUAGAUAGUAGGAGGAACACCAGUGGCGAAGGCGGCCUGCUGGACGACAACUGACGGUGAGGCGCGAAAGCGUGGGGAGCAAACAGGAUUAGAUACCCGGGUAGUC
rnacentral:rRNA from 1 species